GUAAACCCCGGACCAGAUGGACCGAAGUCGGCGGUCCAUCUGGUGAUUUUGGGAUUAAGGCGGUGGAGAACCGCAGCUGUUAAGGCAGUUAAAACUGCCUAACAGCCGCGAUCCCCCACCCCUUUGAGGCGGACGAAGGCUUAUAAAAGCCCUGGAGUCCGCUGAGGGGGACUCCAUUGAUCAUCUUCUCACUUUCCUUGUUCUUCUUCCUCUGUGCAAGGAGUCGGAUCGGGAGCUGUGGUGCCGGAGGGGGAAGGAUUUCCAGCUCGCCACCUCGUGGUGCCGCCAGAGCAAACAGAGGAGCUCGCCGGAAUCCUUCACGGCUCAUCGGAGCUAGGUAAUCCCUUAACCCCCUUGCUUUUCAUUAACGGUUUACCUACUGUUGGCCUAGAUUUAAAUUAGUUAGGGUUGAUUUACAGAGGAAGAAGGGUAGGGAGAAGAUGAAGAGAAGGAAGGAGAAGGAUCUAACCAAUGAUCGGCUGUGAUCCGACAUUGGCCGAGGAUCCUCCUCCUUCACCCGACGGUAGUUUCCUCCCCAUUAAAACCCUAGAUCUAAAAUUCAAAGAUGAACCUACCUCUCGAUUCAUGGGAGGGAUCCUUGGCUCGUGUAGGUCCGGUUUCCAUGGGUGGAGCCGGCUGGAACUGGACCGGAGAUGGUCGGAGCAGACGAGCCGAAGGGGGAUCUUCCUGUUUCGGCCGUCGUGACACCGCCGGGCCGACCGCAGGUGUCGGCGUAUGCCACCUGCUUUGGCGGUUCUGUCGCUCCACGGCAGGUGGUCGGGCUCCAUCUCUUCCGCCGGAAGUAGAGGAGGAGAACCUCGGUUGGGCCGUGGCUGCUGCAGGUGGAACCACGGCCGCCGCCGGUGCCAUCGGUUGGCUGCAACGCCACCGAUCUCGAGCCGGCCUCCUCCCGAAUGCCUUCCGAGCACCGUCCGAGCUUGCCUCCGGGUUUCAUGGGGGAAGAGUAGAAGAGGAAGAGGAGCUCGGGGAGGGAAGAAGAAAGAAAGGAAGAGAAGGUUCGGGAGGAGAAGAAAGAAAAAGGAAAAGAAGAAAGAAAAGAAAAAGAAAAUGAAAGAGGGAAAGGGGUUUUCAUGGGCCCAGUAAUCGGGUUUGAAGUUUGGAGGAGUGGGUCAUCUGGGUCAUGAUCCCACCGAGAUGGGAAAUUGGGCUAUUGAAUUUAGGGCCUAAAUGUUCUAAUUACUAAAUUAGGAAACCGUUAAUAUGAAGGAAAAUGCCUUAAUGGGCCUUGGGAUGGCCUCAAAAUAAUUGUAAUUAUGAGGGUUUGAGAUUAGACUGGACCUAAGGAGCCCAAACCUUAAUAGAAGGGUCAAAUUGAAUAUGGGCAAGAUCUUUUAUUUUUUAAUUAAUUAGAUCUGAUAAGGUUUAAAAUUGUGAAUUAACUAAUUAUGUUUCUGGCCCUGAAUACGAAUGGGCCAGUGAGUGAAUCAGGCCAAGGGCCUGAUCCAGCACCCAAUUAAACUUUGGGCCUGAAUGCAAAAGGGCCCUGACUUGAACCCAGGAGCAAUAGGGUCAAACCCGAACCAGAAAGUGACCCAGACCUGAACCAAACUUGGGUCUGACCUGAACCAGAAAAAUUGUUAGACCAAAAUCAGACAUUGGGUCAAACCCAAAUGGAGAAAAUUGAACAGACCUAAAUUGAAAAUUGAACCAGGAUAGAGACCUAAGAAUGAAAUUGAGUCCUAUGGAUGGAUUGUAAGCUGGGUAAUUAAGAAAGAUAGUGAUUAAAUGAAGUCGAAUGCGUAAUUAACAAGUAAUUUAAUGAUGUUGCUAGGUAAUUGAAGAAUUGGUACUCAAACCCAAGGUUGGUGGGCGAAUUAUGUAAGUAACCUGUCUUAAUCUUAUUAUGGAUCAUGUAUCACGUUUUAUAAGAUGAAAAAGUAUUAUUUAUGCAAUUGGAAUUAUGUAUAAGAAUUGUGGAAAAAGUACAUGA
rnacentral:lncRNA from 1 species